rnacentral:lncRNA from 1 species
GGAAACUGAGGCCCAGAAGGACAGACAGAAGCUUAUGCAUGGUCAAAGAGACCUAUGAGAACUGACACCCUUGCACCAGCUGCUGGGUAGACACAGUGAGGUCUUGAAGCUGCUGUUCUCCUGAAUGUGGAAUGGAAGAGCUGGUCUCGGUGAUGCACUUGUGGCAGACCAGGGGCUGGGUUCUCCCAAAGAACUGGUGGACUCCGCUGGGUGAGAGGAUGGAGGCUCCAAGCAAUCAGAAAACAGAUCAGUACCACGGAGAGCUCCUUUUGCCAAAGAAACGAAAGAGGGCUUGUAGUUACUGGGAGCAAAAUUAAAAGUUG